rnacentral:rRNA from 1 species
CCUACGGGAGGCAGCAGUGGGGAAUAUUGCACAAUGGGGGAAACCCUGAUGCAGCGACGCCGCGUGAGUGAAGAAGUCAUUCGUUAUGUAAAGCUCUAUUAGCAGGGAAGAAAAUGACGGUACCUGAGUAAGAAGCCCCGGCUAACUACGUGCCAGCAGCCGAGGUAAUAUGUCGGGGGCAAGCGUUAUCCGGAUUUACUGGGUGUAAAGGGAGCGUAGGCGGCAGUGCAAGUCUGUAGUGAAAGGCGGGGGCUCAACCCCCGGACUGCUCGGGAAACUGUACGGCUGGAGUGCAGGAGAGGUAAGUGGAAUUCCUAGUGUAGCGGUGAAAUGCGUAGAUAUUAGGAGGAACACC